GAAUGUGGUUUUUAUGUUUUUUUUUUCUCUUUCUCUCAGGGAAUAGGAAGUUGUCUGUCCUUUUGUAGCAAGAGAGACCAUGAACCAACCAUAAGAUGGAAAUAGCAUCAGUAAAUCUUGUAGCUGGGAGAUCCUCGUGAUGCCUUUCUAAUGUCUAUUAAUAAACGAGGAGUUUCUGUGUUGUGAGAACGAGCUGUACCUGAAGGGAGUAACGUGUUCUCGAAAGGCAUUGACUCUCAUAUAUGUGAAGAGCACAUAUUCUUAUUCAGAGCUGUUUCAGCAGAACCUGAAGCAAUACAUGCUGUGGACAUCUACUGAAUACACGUGAAAUUCCUGUCGAACGAGGGAAUCAAAAAUCGUACACACUGGCUGGCAAAUGGAGGAGAGGCUGAAGUGGUUUCUUAGGGAAAGACACUGGAGACACCACU
rnacentral:lncRNA from 1 species